rnacentral:rRNA from 1 species
UACGGAGGAUGCAAGCGUUAUCCGGAAUUAUUGGGCGUAAAGCGUCCGCAGGUGGUGGUUCAAGUCUGCUGUCAAAGCGUGGAGCUUAACUCCAUACAGGCAGUGGAAACUGAAUGACUAGAGUUCGGUAGGGGUAGCGGGAAUUCCCAGUGUAGCGGUGAAAUGCGUAGAUAUUGGGAAGAACACCGGCGGCGAAAGCGCGCUACGGGACCGAGACUGACAAUGAGGGACGAAAGCUAGGGGAGCGAAAGGG